rnacentral:rRNA from 1 species
GACGAACGCUGGCGGCGUGCCUAAUACAUGCAAGUAGAACGCAGUUGCGAACGGGUGAGUAACGCGUAGGUAACUGCCUCAUAGCGGGGGAUAACUAUUGGAAACGAUAGCUAAUACCGCAUACUGUGAGAUGGACCUGCGUUGUAUUAGCUAGUUGGUGAGGUAAAGGCUCACCAAGGCGACGAUACAUAGCCGACCUGAGAGGGGGAGGGGCCACACUGGGAUUGGGACGAGGACCAGGCUCCUACGGGAGGCAGCAGUAGGGAAUCUGCGGCAAUGGACGGAAGUGUGACCGAGCAACGGCGGGUGAGUGAAGAAGGGUUUCGGAUCGUAAAGCUCUGUUGUUAGAGAAGCGGUAACUAACGAGAAAGGGACGGCUAACUACGUGCCAGCAGCCGCGGUAAUUC